rnacentral:rRNA from 1 species
UACAGAGGUGGCUAGCGUUGUUCGGAUUUAUUGGGCGUAAAGGGUCUGUAGGCGGUCUGGAAAGUCGGAUGUGAAAUCCCACAGCUCAACUGUGGAACUGCAUUCGAAACUUCCGGACUAGAGUGUGAGAGGGGUAAAGGGAAUUCCCGGUGUAAGGGUGAAAUCUGCAGAGAUCGGGAGGAACACCAGUCGCGAAGGCGCUUUACUGGCUCACUACUGACGCUGAGGGACGAAAGCUAGGGGAGCAAACGGG